rnacentral:rRNA from 1 species
UGAGGAAUAUUGGUCAAUGGCCGAGAGGCUGAACCAGCCAAGUCGCGUGAGGGAAGACGGCCCUACGGGUUGUAAACCUCUUUUGUCGGGGAGCAAAGCGAGUCACGUGUGACUCAUUGAGAGUACCCGAAGAAAAAGCAUCGGCUAACUCCGUGCCAGCAGCCGCGGUAAUACGGAGGAUGCGAGCGUUAUCCGGAUUUAUUGGGUUUAAAGGGUGCGCAGGCGGAGGUGCAAGUCAGCGGUCAAAUUGCGGGGCUCAACCCCGUACUGCCGUUGAAACUGCAUCCCUUGAGUGCGCGAGAA